GAUGAACGCUGGCGGCGUGCCUAAUACAUGCAAGUCGAGCGAACCACUUCGGUGGUGAGCGGCGAACGGGUGAGUAGCACGUAGGUGAUCUGCCCAUCAGACGGGACAACGAUUGGAACGAUCGCUAAUACCGGAUAGGACGAAAGUUUAAAGGUGCUUCUGGCACCGCUGAUGGAUGAGCCUGCGGCGCAUUAGCUAGUUGGUAGGGUAAAGGCCUACCAAGGCGACGAUGCGUAGCCGACCUGAGAGGGUGAACGGCCACACUGGGACUGAGACACGGCCCAGACUCCUACGGAGGCAGCAGUAGGGAAUCUUCGGCAAUGGGCGAAAGCCUGACCGAGCAACGCCGCGUGAAUGAUGAAGGCC
rnacentral:rRNA from 1 species